UUAACCGGCCCCUGGGUGGCUCCAGCUAUGGCUACCGUGGCCGAGACUGCCGGGCCAACCUUUAUUUGCUCCCCACCGGGGAGAUAGUGUACUUUGUGGCCUCCGUGGCCGUGCUAUACAGCGUGGAGGAGCAGAGGCAGCGACACUACCUGGGACACAACGAUGACAUCAAAUGCUUGGCCAUCCACCCAGAUAUGGUCACCAUCGCCACGGGACAGGUGGCGGGCACCACUAAGGAAGGGAAGGUAAUGGAAGGGAGGGGAAAGCAGAAAAGAGUGCAGGACGCAGUUGUGGGGGACAAGCAGCUGGUACCCCCAAGGUAACAAGCCUCUCUUCCCUGCAGCCGCUGCCGCCCCACGUGCGCAUCUGGGACUCAGUUUCCCUCUCCACCUUACACGUGCUGGGCUUGGGGGUGUUUGACAGAGCCGUGUGCUGUGUGGGCUUCUCCAAAUCUAAUGGGGGCAACCUGUUGUGUGCAGUGGACGAAUCCAAUGAUCACAUGCUCUCGGUGUGGGACUGGGCCAAGGAGACCAAGGU
rnacentral:sRNA from 1 species